rnacentral:rRNA from 1 species
AGAGUUUGAUCAUGGCUCAGGACGAACGCUGGCGGCGUGCGUAAUACAUGCAAGUCGAACGAACUCUGGUAUUGAUUGGUGCUUGCAUCAUGAUUUACAUUUGAGUGAGUGGCGAACUGGUGAGUAACACGUGGGAAACCUGCCCAGAAGCGGGGGAUAACACCUGGAAACAGAUGCUAAUACCGCAUAACAACUUGGACCGCAUGGUCCGAGCUUGAAAGAUGGCUUCGGCUAUCACUUUUGGAUGGUCCCGCGGCGUAUUAGCUAGAUGGUGGGGUAACGGCUCACCAUGGCAAUGAUACGUAGCCGACCUGAGAGGGUAAUCGGCCACAUUGGGACUGAGACACGGCCCAAACUCCUACGGGAGGCAGCAGUAGGGAAUCUUCCACAAUGGACGAAAGUCUGAUGGAGCAACGCCGCGUGAGUGAAGAAGGGUUUCGGCUCGUAAAACUCUGUUGUUAAAGAAGAACAUAUCUGAGAGUAACUGUUCAGGUAUUGACGGUAUUUAACCAGAAAGCCACGGCUAACUACGUGCCAGCAGCCGCGGUAAUACGUAGGUGGCAAGCGUUGUCCGGAUUUAUUGGGCGUAAAGCGAGCGCAGGCGGUUUUUUAAGUCUGAUGUGAAAGCCUUCGGCUCAACCGAAGAAGUGCAUCGGAAACUGGGAAGCUUGAGUGCAGAAGAGGACAGUGGAACUCCAUGUGUAGCGGUGAAAUGCGUAGAUAUAUGGAAGAACACCAGUGGCGAAGGCGGCUGUCUGGUCUGUAACUGACGCUGAGGCUCGAAAGUAUGGGUAGCAAACAGGAUUAGAUACCCUGGUAGUCCAUACCGUAAACGAUGAAUGCUAAGUGUUGGAGGGUUUCCGCCCUUCAGUGCUGCAGCUCACGCAUUAAGCAUUCCGCCUGGGGA